rnacentral:misc_RNA from 1 species
AAGAGUUAUAAACUCCUAAACCCAUGUGAACAUACCUCUGUUGCCUCGGUGGCCUACCCGGUAGCUACCCUGUAGCUACCCUGUAGUUCGCCGAUGGAAUACAAAACUCUUGUUUUUUUAUAUCUCUGAGAAAACUUUUAAUAAGUCA